AAACAGCAGGGCUGUGCUGCAUCCACGACAUGUGCAUCGAGUGCUACAGCCAAUGGAUUCUACAGUAUCAUGAAACCGUUGACCCUUGGAAUUCUAUCAAAAGACACUUCUUCUUCACAUGGUUAUAUAAUCACUGCUACACGAAUAGGUUGUGUGGGACCGGAAGUAAUAUUGAGGGGUAAUAUGUUGUAAUGUGAAAAGGAAGCUUUCUUCUUUUCAACCCCUUCUGCGUACUCAUCAAACUGCAAAACACAUACAUAUUCCAGUCAUUGAAUGUCGAACCUUGGUGUCAGGCCCAGGCUGAGGUGACACCGUUUUUAGCACGUCGUAUAGGACGGAUGCAGUCUGAUAGUAUUGGCCCAUCUCGUCCCUACGUGUCAUACAUACAGAGAAGCAUGCUAUAUUCCAAGUCGGUGGAGGCAUGCAUCAUCUAAUCGAGUACGGAGACAAGCUAUUGCCAGUAAUUCUGAGUCAUCUGUGAUACAACCAAGACCGAUGUUGGUGUUGGUGUUGGUGUUGGUGGUGUUGUUGUUGUUGUUGUUGUUGUUGUUGUUGAGACAUUGUUGCGCGUUAAUGGACUACCGGUCAUGAAUAUUUACGUGCCAAAAGUACUUCAAUUUUGGUAUACUCCUAUAUAUUAUAUAACAAGAAGGUCGAGGGUUUUGUUGCGACGGCCUGUAAAA